ACCCCUCUAGUAUCAACUAGUACAUCUGACUUCCAAUCAGUUGGUUCCGGCUUGACCCGGAGAGGAGUA
rnacentral:tRNA from 1 species